rnacentral:misc_RNA from 1 species
GUAACUCCCCUAAAAAACUUCCAGUUCCAGUACUGUUCACUCUGUGUCUGUCAGCCUCAUCAGCUAGAUUUUGGGCCUCCGGGUUCACCUCGAUAAUCCCGCGAAGCAGCGGAUUUAGGGUUUCGAUUUGGUGAAGGUAAAAGUCGACUAGUUCUCUUGCGGUGAGUUUGCCUUGAGCAAAUGCUUGAUGGAUUUCCUUAAUGCUGGUUUCUUCAAUCUUAAAAACCGAGCAGCCUUCCAUCUUUGUUUUUCUGAUUCAAGAUAAUUAGUGGAAA